rnacentral:lncRNA from 1 species
UUUUUUUUUUUUUUAAUUUUAUGUUUUUGUCUUUUCUAGGGCCAUACCCUCCGCAUAUAGCGGUUCACAGUCUAGGGGUCUAAUCGGAGCUAUAGCCGCCAGUCAAUGCCACAGCCACAGCCACAGCAAUGUGUGAUCUGAGCUGUGUCUGCAACCUACGCCACAGCUCACGGCAAUGGCGGAUCCUUAACCCACUGAGCAAGGCCAGGGACCGAACCCACAACCUCAUGGUUCCUAGUUGGAUUCGUUAACCACUGAGCCACGAUGAGAACUCCCAUCUCUUUUUUAAAUUCAAGGGGGUAUUCUGUUGCAGCACAGCUGGUUAAGGAUCCAACAUUGUCCCUGCGGUGGCUGCAGUUGCUGCCGUGUCACGGGUUCAGUUCCUGGCCUGAGAACUUCCACGUGACUUGGGUGCAGCCAAAAAGCACAAGUCAAGUCCUGGGCUAGGAGUUGCCCUCUCUGCUCUGGGGGACUUGCCUAGCUUUGUGGGUUUGACGAUCAUAAGGUCAUCUCUUCUACCAGAGGCAAUUAAUUAGUCUCUGAACCUUCUGAGGCAACCUUAGAACUCAGAAAGCAUUUACCUAUUUAGGGCGAAUCCAGUUGACCAUGAAAUGUCAGUGCUGGUGUGACCAGUGGGCCCUAGGAACCUACAGUGUAUCCCAGCCUCUACAGAGACAGGAAGGGCUGUCCGAAUGGGUCCACAGUGGAAGAAGCACCAGGAAGUUGAGGGACUGGAAAGGCGUUCAGGUGACAGUCACAGGUCUCUCUUCUCCAUAAUAUGCCCAGGUCAGCUACUGAGAAGCCAGCAGAUGCCUCGCUGCCCAUGGUGUCAUAGCUGCAACCAUAGCUGUAGCCUGCUGCCACACCCGAGCCUCCUCCCAACCACCUCUCUGGGCCUGCAGCACAUCAGGAGGAAUGGAAAACCGUGGGAAGAAUAAGAGAGGAGAAGGCCACGAGAGCAAUUCCUCAGUGCCUACUCCAGCCACCUCCUUCUUCCUUCUGCUGUGCCCCCCAACAUCGGCAGCAGCAUCACCACCAAAACCACACCCACCAUAUCUUGAGUAAUUCUUUCCACAUAUUUUGUCAUUCAGUCCUCGCUGUCUCCCACGCCCCCUACCUUGCACCCUUGCCUCCAGGCACAUCUGGUCAGGCUACCCAAACCUUCAUUGUCCAGCUCAUGUCCUCCUUCUUCCAUGAAAUUUUCCCUGACCUUGGAGAAUAGUAGAUCUCUAAUGGCAUGAAGCAGGGUUCUGUCUUUGGCACUGUUCUGUCAAUGUUUUCCAGCAGGGCUUGGAUAGACCCAAGGGGAGCAGGCUUCUCUAAGUUGGCCUCAUGUCAACAGAGGACUGAGUCAGGAUCCCGAAACUUGUCCUUGAUAGCCUGAGGGGACAGACUAGAACCAUCGAAAUGAAAUUUUGUUAGGCCUGCUGUCAAGGAGAAUGGGAGCCCGUAGGAAAGACCAUUUUCAUUGUAGUUUUAUAAGGAUGGAACCUUGAACAAGGAAACUCCUAUCUUCCCAUAUUUUGUCUGGUCAGAUUAUAUGUAGACCAUUAACUGAAAUCACCCAGAGGUCAAAGAACAGGUGGAUUAAGUCAUCCUGCGUGAAUACACGAUCUCCUGCCAGAAACAAGCUUUAGUCUUGGUGAUGCUUGACUAAUACUGGGUGACCAUCAGAUGAGGAUGUAGCAACAAGAAUGCGAGCAACAACAAUCUUGCAUUUGCUGGGGUUGGGGGAGGGGGAACGAGGAUGGAAGGGUUUAUCUUCCAAGCUCCCGUCCAAUUUCUCCAUGACUUUCUAUACUGUAUCGCUUCUUGAUCAGUGUUUUCACAGCAGCAGAAGCUAAGUUUUAUAUAUCUAUACAUAUAUAUCCGUGGGUUGGAGGGGCAGGGAUGUUGGGGUGGGUGGGGCUGGAAGAAUGGAGAGUACGCAGGAAACACCAGGGCAGCUUCCUCCUCAAGGUUUCAGGACCAGAAGUGCAAAGAGCUCUGGCCCCAUGUCCCGAAAUUCUUCCUCCUUGACAGCUGUUGCUAAAGGCAGAGAGUGGAAAGAAAGUUCUUGCCAGUAAAAAAGAGGCUGGAAACGCUUUGAGUUGUUGAAACCUAAGAAAGAUGUAUCUGUUAGGGGUGAUGAGAGGGAGAAAAGGGGAAGACGCCUAAGGAGGCAGAGGAGAAGAAGGGCACUAGGAAAGGCAGGGUCCCACGAAGGGCAGCUUGGCUGGAAAUGGAGGCUGAAGUGGGCAGAGGAGCGGCGCGCGUCCUGUGCGGGUGCCUUGGCAUGUGCAGCAUGGUUUCUGUAUCAGUGCGGACCUCUCCUGGAUGAAAAAGCACGAAGAUGAGGCUUGGAGGGCAAGUUGAUCGAUAUCUACAAAAGAGCUUCUUAAAGGUAAGGUUCCACGGGCAGGGCAGAGCGGAGGGAAAGGAAAAGCUUCCGUGAGCCUGUAAGAGUGGCAGCCUGGAGGGCAGAGGAAACACUGAAUAUGGAGUCAGGAGGCUUGAGUUCAAGUCCCGGCCCUGCCGCUGGUUGGCUGUGGGUCUCUCCCCUGCUCUGGGCCUCAGGGUCCUCCCAUGUCAACGUCUGUUUAGCUGGGUCGUCUGUGAUAUUAAUAAUUUACAUGCAAACCUAGUUCCUUCACGAUUUUUUCAGUCAGAAAAUGACUCUUCAGGGACUAUGUUUUGCGCUGGGUGAUUUGGGUAAUUUCAUUUUGUCUUCCAGUAAUCCUUCAGGGUUGCUCCCUUUGAACACUCCUAACCUAUCUCCUCUGACCUUGAGCUGGAAGGAAAGGGGUCUGGCCCCUGUUUGGGUAAAAGGAUGGAGGCAAGCAGGGUGUCCCAGUCUGCCUGGAACUGAGGGGUUUCCCAGGACAAGGGACUUUCAGUCCUGGGCACCCUGGAUGCUGGGUGGCCCUCGUGGUGAGAAAGAUGUCGGUUUGGAGGCAGCUUGGAGGAGAGGGCCUGGAAGAGCUCGCCUCCUCUUCCCUUUCUGGGUGGAGUUCCCCACGAAGCCCCCUACCCAUGUGGUUUUGAUUACAAGGUGCACCUCCCUGGCAGGAGGCUGGUAGAGCUACAGGGAGGAGAAGCGAGGGGUGCCUUCAAACCUGUCACAAGCCCAUUUGAGACAACUACUGCCAGGAAAGAAGAUGAAAUGCUUGACUAGCAUUGAUGCUGUGGGGAUUUUCCCUUUUUCU